AUGUUCAACAUGCACUACCCUGUGGAACUUGGGGCCUUCGCUGGAGUUUCUUCAAAGGUGCAUAUUUAAGAUCAAUCCCGACAAGGGCUCCAAAGUUGAGCGUCUGGAAAAGAAGAAGAGCCAUGUAGUGAACCCCAAAGUCCUGACCCUUAUCACCCGCAUUUCCGAGUUUGAAUGGAGUUCUUAAUUGAUCCAAGGAGGAUAAUGUGCAUGGGAACUGUCUAGGAGAACCUGUGGAAGUGAUCCAAAAUUCAAGAGAUCCAAAAUUCAAGAUCCCCAUAGACCAAGUCUUUUACAGGUUGGCACUUUUUUUUGUGCAGGUUGUAAUGUUAGAAAAGU